rnacentral:tRNA from 1 species
AAAAUAGUAAGAUAACAAAUAAUCUCCCUCUCUUCCAAAGAGGAAAUGGAUUUUUCCCUAUUUUA